rnacentral:tRNA from 1 species
GCUCCCAUCGUCUAGCGGUUAGGACAUCAGCUUCUCAAGCUGGGAACCGGGGUUCGAUUCCCCGUGGGAGCG